UAGGGAAUCUUCGGCAAUGGACGAAAGUCUGACCGAGCAACGCCGCGUGAGUGAAGAAGGUUUCCGGAUCGUAAAACUCUGUUGUUAGAGAAGAACAAGGACGUUAGUAACUGAACGUCCCCUGACGGUAUCUAACCAGAAAGCCACGGCUAACUACGUGCCAGCAGCCGCGGUAAUACGUAGGUGGCAAGCGUUGUCCGGAUUUAUUGGGCGUAAAGCGAGCGCAGGCGGUUUCUUAAGUCUGAUGUGAAAGCCCCCGGCUCAACCGGGGAGGGUCAUUGGAAGCUGGGAGACUUGAGUGCAGAAGAGGAGAGUGGAAUUCCAUGUGUAGCGGUGAAAUGCGUAGAUAUAUGGAGGAACACCAGUGGCGAAGGCGGCUCUCUGGUCUGUAACUGACGCUGAGGCUCGAAAGCGUGGGGAGCAAACAGG
rnacentral:rRNA from 1 species